rnacentral:rRNA from 1 species
UACGGAGGGUGCUAGCGUUGUUCGGAAUUACUGGGCGUAAAGCGCGCGUAGGCGGCUUUGUAAGUUAGAGGUGAAAGCCCGGAGCUCAACUUCGGAACUGCCUUUAAAACUGUAUCGCUUGAAUCCAGGAGAGGUGAGUGGAAUUCCGAGUGUAGAGGUGAAAUUCGUAGAUAUUCGGAAGAACACCAGUGGCGAAGGCGGCUCACUGGACUGGUAUUGACGCUGAGGUGCGAAAGCGUGGGGAGCAAACAGG